rnacentral:lncRNA from 1 species
UGUAUUCAUCUGAUUGCUCGUCAAAGAGCUCCCAGCAGACGAAAGAAACAACUCUAACGGUUUUGCCUUCUUUCCUAAGCACCUCUCCAGCCUGUGCAGCAAUCUCUAGCUCAGAUCCAGUUCCAAUCAAGAUCACAUCGGGUUUGUUUCCUGAUGAGUUGUCAGAAAUUGUGUAUCCACCCUUUUCGACUCCUUCAAUGGAUGUACCUGGAAGUUGAGCAAGCUUUUGCCUAGACAGAGCUAAGAUCGAUGGUGUCUUGCGCUUGGUGACAGCGAUCUUGUAUGCACCGGCUGUUUCGUUUCCAUCAGCAGGACGGAACAUAAGAGUGUUGGGCAUUGCACGGAAACUGGCGAGGUGCUCAAUGGGCUGAUGGGUUGGUCCAUCUUCUCCAAGACCAAUGGAAUCAUGAGUCAUGACAUAGAUAACACCAGCUUCGGACAACGCCGAGAUUCUCAUGGCACCUCUCAUGUAGUCAGUGAACACAAAGAAAGUUGCGCAGUAAGGGAUAAGACCGGGGCUGUGAAGGCAAAUACCGUUACUGAUGGCUCCCAUUCCGUGCUCCCUAACACCAAACCUAAGAUUUCUUUCUUCAGGUGUGGCCUUUUGGAAGUCACCAAACGCUUUUAGCAAAGUCAUGUUGGAAGAUGCAAGGUCAGCACUCCCACCAAGGAAACCGGGAACAACUUUAGCGAGCGCGUUAAGACAUUGCUGCGACAGGUUUCUGGUGGCAUCAGCUGGAGACUCUGGUGUGUAUGUCUAAAUAUAGAAAAACAAAGAUGUUAUAAAACCCAUAUCUAGAAUACCAAUUGGAUUGUACGGUCUACAAAGAGAGCUCUACUUACUGGUAAUGCCUUCUCCCAACCAGCAGGUAAUUCACCAGUGAUAAUAGAUUUCAAUUCUGCAGCUUCCUCUGGGUACUUCUUUUCAUACGCUGCAAACUUUGCAUUCCAGUCAGAUUCAAGAGCAGCGCCUUCAGGCGUAUGACGGCUCCAGUGACUAGAAAAGUACAAAGCAAACAGUGAGCCAUCAAAGCAAUUUCCAAAGCAAAAAAGUUAACAGAUGCCUUUGUUUAGAUUUACUUACCUUUUAACUUCCUCAGGUACCUGGAAUGGCUCAUACGGCCAUCCAAGGUUAUUUCUUGUAGCUUCAACUUCCUUCUUGCCAAGUGCAGCUCCAUGGACACUGUAUGAGUUCGCCUUGUUGGGAGACCCAUAACCAAUAGUAGUAGUGACCUGCAGAUUCAUUCGGAUAAAAGUAGAAUGAUAUUUCAAUACCAAAGGUCUCUAAACUAAUGAGUGUUUGACUGCUAAGUUUUUUUUUUUGCAUAGAUAGAGAUACCUUAAUCAAUGUGGGCUUGUCUGUAACAGAUUUAGCUUCCUUAAUGGCAGCACGGAUCUCGUCAUACCCAGUGUUUCCAUUCUUCACCCAGAUAACAUGCCAUCCAAGGGCUUCGAAACGCUGAUCCAC